AAAAAGAUCUCAACCAAGGCUUGGUGUUGUGGUGGGAACAAGGGUAUCUUCACAAAAGCUCAUGUAGAAUGUCACAUAUUGUAGUAUUGACAAUAAAGCUGACUUGACUUGAUCUGUCCCUUUUUUUCCUUCUUUUCUACAGAUGGUCUGGUUGUAUGGUUGCACAUAAAACUGUUCUUCUCUGGCUUCUGCUCUGAAAUCAAACCCAAAGAGAACUGGAUCUGACCUAUAAUCAAUCAGGAGAGUCUGGAAUGAAGCUGCUGUUUGGUCUACUGAAGGAUUUACACUGCACACUGGACAAACUACAGUCAAGUCUCUGCUUCGGUCUUCACGAACUGCCAGCAGAAAUUAACAGAGGCAAGAAAAACCUCAACAUUUCUGAUGUCAGAAUUGCUUGAUGUUGGUUUCAAGUCUUCUUCAGCUUUUUCCUACUUGGCUUAAAUGUGCUUCAGUAAACACAUUAGGACAUUCCACCAACAGGAAAGUAAAGCUGCUGAA
ensembl:lncRNA